rnacentral:lncRNA from 1 species
CAUCACUCGUAUUUUUCUCAAUCUCCACACUUUUUUUCUUUUCAACUUCACCAUUCUUUUCGUUAUUUUCAACUUCUUCCUUUUCACUCCACUCCCCCACUUCACCAUCAAUAUUUUCCUCCACUAUUUCCUCCUUUUCUUUCUCAUCUCUUUUUUUAUUCUCACUACUCAACUUAAACAAGUAUGGGUCAUCCCAAACAUAAUACUUCGCAUCCG